AUUGAACGCUGGCGGCAGGCCUAAUACAUGCAAGUCGAACGAGUGGCGGACGGGUGAGUAAUGUCUGGGAAACUGCCUGAUGGAGGGGGAUAACUACUGGAAACGUUAGCAAAUACUGCAUACCAUCAGUUGUGCCUAGGUGUGAUGAGCUUGUUGGUGGGGUAACGGCUAAACAAGGCGACGAUCCCUAGCUGGCCUGAGAGGGUGACCAGCCACACUGGAACUGAGACACGGUCCAGACUCCUACGGGAGGCAGCAGUGGGGAAUAUUGCGCAAUGGGCGCAAGCCUGAUACAGCAAUGCCGCGUGUGUGAAGAAGGCUUUCGGGUUGUAAAGUACUUUCAGCAGGGAGGCGGUACCCACAGAGGAAGCAACGGCUAACUCCGUGCCAGCAGCCGCGGUAAUUC
rnacentral:rRNA from 1 species